GCCCUGAGUGUAUUGUUGAACCAUCUCAUUGGAAGCAUCAUCUGACAACUGAAAGUCUACAUAAUAAUCCGACAGCCAUUUCAUCCUAAGUUUACUCCCCUCAAAAUCUUUAGUUGGAGGUGCAACCUCUAAUAAUCACUUGCAAAGUGAUUACCACUGCGGUAUAAAAAAUGCAAGAUCAUGAUCAAUAACUGGCAAAUCAUCGAUGCAUAAACCAGUCAAGAUGCUGACAUCCUAUAAUGUAAUGGUAGUCUCC
rnacentral:lncRNA from 1 species